rnacentral:rRNA from 1 species
UCGCCAGACUCCUACGGGAGGCAGCAGUGGGGAAUAUUGGGCAAUGGGCGAAAGCCUGACCCAGCAACGCCGCGUGAAGGAAGAAGGCUUUCGGGUUGUAAACUUCUUUUACCAGGGACGAAGGACGUGACGGUACCUGGAGAAAAAGCUCCGGCUAACUACGUGCCAGCAGCCGCGGUCAUACGUAGGAUCCGAGCAUUAUCCGGAGUGACUGGGUGUAAAGAGUUGCGUAGGUGGCAUAAUAAGUAGCUAGUGAAAUCUGGUGGCUCAACCAUUCAGACUAUUAGCUAAACUGUUAAGCUCGAGACCGUUAGGGGUAACUGGAAUUUCUAGUGUAGGAGUGAAAUCCGUAGAUAUUAGAAGGAACACCAAUAGCGUAGGCAGGUUGCUGGGACGGUUCUGACACUAAGGCACGAAAGCGUAGGGAGCAAACGGGAUUAGAUACCCCAGUAG